UGUCAUGGCCAUACCACUCUGAAUGCACCUGAUCUCAGAAGCUAAGCAAAGUGGGCCCGGUUCUUACUUGGACGGAUAAAAUAUACAAUUCGUGCUGGAGAGAUAUGUCAG
rnacentral:rRNA from 1 species